rnacentral:lncRNA from 1 species
UAAAAACAUUAAAUGAAGUAAUCUCUUAUUACUAUUAACUAUAAUUAAUAAUACUAUUAAUUAUUAUUAAAAUGCAGUGCUGCUACUAAUAAUAAUGAUAAUAAUAAUAAUGUGAUAUUUAACACAAAAAUCUCUGAUCUCAAGUGAUUAGAAGCUUUGCAGACCUCAAUUAAUCCAGAAUCAUAGCUGGGCUUUGCUCCACUGCACUUUCAUUCUCUGCUGUUGCAUGAGGGAACUUAGGUUUGAUUUUCAACACUUGACCCAACUUUCCAGAGAGAAAACCAUUCCAUCAAUAUGGAAGAAAUAAAAUAAAGCCAAGAAAGAAGAUGGAUGAUCUGUCAAGCAAUGAAAGACUUUUCUCCUCUGGGACAAUGUACCACUUCCACAGUACUCUCCAUCCCUCCCUGAUCAGGAUGCUGGUGUCUGGGGAACAUCUAAUGGACACUGCGAGUUGACCAAGACAAAACAUUUGAUCAUAUCAGAAAAACAAUAUCUCUUGUAUUUUCUGCAGUGGGAAGGGCAUAACAACAUUCUUUCGUGGAAGUUUGGCAGUCAUCCAUCAUCAAUGCUCUCCUUGGAAGUUCUCAUGCAUCAUGGAAAAGGGCCUGCCCUCUCCCUACCAACAAUAUUUGCCUGGAAGGAGAAAAUUCCCCCUCCCCACAGCUCUAGCUCUCUUUCUCUGACAAAUCCGCAGUGCAGCAGGAAGUGGCAAGGUGCCUAUCGCUGCCCUUUUUGAAUAUCAGACCCCUGGGCAUUUCAGCAUGACACUAUACCAUGAGAAAUGUAGGAUGAGGCAGAAGACAAUGUAACUGAAAUGUCAAAGGUUUGAGUUCAAUUUGGUUUGAAGGAUGGCCAAAGGCUCAGAUCACUUCUUAUUUUAACCAAACUAUUCAUAAUAUACGUUGUCACUUUGGUGGUAAUGCAGCAUGUUUCAUUUGGGUGGUCCAAAGAGAAAUAAUACCUACCCUAGGUGCAGGAAAACACUCUCUGUGCUAGAAGGAAAGGUGGGGAUAUUUUUUUAACUAAUCCUAUAUUAUUUUCUAUUUCUAUUUGGUCCCUGUAAGACCUCAACUAGGAAAAUACAUAUCAUCUACUGGUCUUCACUUUUAGUGACAGCUUGCUUUCUUAGAAAACCUUAGAGAAGCACAUACACAUUCUGCUUUUUGCUGAAGACUUCACUUUGUUUUUUUCUGAGUCUUCUCUUCUUUAAUCUCAAGUGAGCAUCACUUUCCAUCCCUGGCACAGUGGCUUCCAUGAGUCAAGCUUCUCAGAGCUACCACAAUACUGAAAUAAAUGUACAUAUUUUGCUCUCUAUUCA